AUUGAACGCUGGCGGCGUGCUUAACACAUGCAAGUCGAUCGGUAACGCGGGGGCAACCCUGGCGACGAGAGGCGGACGGGUGAGGAACGCUUGGGAAUCUGCCUAUCAGCGGGGGACAACACGGGGAAACUCGUGCUAAUACCGCAUACGCCCUACGGAGGAAAGCCGGGGACCGCAAGGCCUGGCACUGAUAGAUGAGCCCAAGCCGGAUUAGCUAGUUGGCGGGGUAACGGCCCACCAAGGCGACGAUCCGUAGCUGGUCUGAGAGGACGAUCAGCCACGCUGGAACUGAGACACGGUCCAGACUCAUACGGGAGGCAGCAGUGGGGAAUAUUGGACAAUGGGGGAAACCCUGAUCCAGCGACGCCGCGUGGGUGAAGAAGGCCUGCGGGUUGUAAAGCCCUUUCGGUAGGGACGAAAGCUCUCGACCUAACACGUCGGGAGGUUGACUUAACCUACAGAAGAAGCACCGGCUAACUCUGUGCCAGCAGCCGCGGUAAUAC
rnacentral:rRNA from 1 species